rnacentral:tRNA from 1 species
UCCUUGGUGGCUCAGAUGGUAAAGAGUCUACCUGCAAUGCAGGAGACCCAGAUUUGAUUCCUGGCUCAGGAA